UGUGACUGUUACCUAAGACCAUCCAGCUAAGCGUGUUGUUGGUUUGUUCCCGUCCUGCAGCGUGCCGACAAAUAAUCAGGAAAUAAGCAUGUAGAAAGCUAAUGGUAGCGAUGUUUGGACAGGGGUUCGACUCCCCUCGACUCCACGA
rnacentral:tmRNA from 1 species